GAUGAUGAAAGUUGCUCGAACGUAGCCAGCACGACAAUGGUGGAAAAGCUUUGCUUAACCACUACCAAGCAUCCACACCUUAUCAAAUACAAGGGCUUAGCAACGAAGGCUAAUUUAAGGUCACUCAACAAGUGCGCAUCGCCUUUUCUACCGGCAAGUAUCAAGAGGAAGUCGUGUGCGACGUAGUGCCUAUUCAAGCCUGCUGUAAUAGCCUAAAUUUGCCCGGCCCACAUACAGUUCAAAAAUUUUAAAAAAAAAAGAAAGAAAAAACUAAAUUAAAAAAAACAGUCCAUAAAGUCUGGUUACAAUAAAGCCUAAGCCAAUACAAUGGGCCUAAUUCCCGAAUACCCCAUCUAGCCCAACUAUCAUGGCCCAAUGAAGCCCCAAAUUAACCCACCUAAAACCCAAUGUCCAGCCCAAAUACCA
rnacentral:lncRNA from 1 species